rnacentral:misc_RNA from 1 species
GAUGAAGAACGUAGCGAAAUGCGAUAAGUAGUGUGAAUUGCAGAAUUCAGUGAAUCAUCGAAUCUUUGAACGCACAUUGCGCCCGCCAGUAUUCUGGCGGGCAUGCCUGUUCGAGCGUCAUUACAACCCUCAGGCCCCCGGGCCUGGCGUUGGGGAUCGGCAGAAGCCCCCUGUGGGCACACGCCGUCCCUCAAAUACAGUGGCGGUCCCGCCGCAGCUUCCAUUGCGUAGUAGCUAACACCUCGCAACUGGAGAGCGGCGCGGCCAUGCCGUAAAACACCCAACUUCUGAAUGUUGACCUCGAAUCAGGUAGGAAUACCCGCUGAACUUAAGCAUAUCAAUAAGCGGAGGA